ACAACAAAAUAGAAUAAUAAUGGCCAACCAGGAUCGUAUACUAACAGAAAUUUCAAAGAAUAACGAAAUCAAUGGAAAUACAUUUUCCGAAAAACUUUUCCAACCUCUGCUUGGCUUCCCAUUGAGAAGUAUAGAAGAGUUUAAUGAUUUAAAUGCAGAGAGUAAUAAAAAUCAACGUCAAAACUUGUAUAACCACUUGGUUUGUUUGGGAGGUUCAAAAGUGAGAGAGUUUUUAAACUGCGCUCUGAAAUAAACUAUGUCAGAUGAGUUGGUUUGCAAAUUUUCUUGGCUUGGUGGAGAUAAAUAUAAAAAGUUUGGUGACACUAUGGUGUCCAAUAUUUUGUAUCUCAGCCAGAAAAUGCAGUCACUUCAAAGGUCCAGACGACAAAGUUCAUUUUAAAAAUGAAAUGUUGGAGGUUUUGCGCUCAACAAAACAAAGAUUUCGGAACUUAAAAAAAAAUAUUGAAGACAAUCUAGAUAAUCUUACUAAUGAAGAGUUAAAAAAAUGAUUCACGAAAUAGAAGAUAGCCAGAAAAGUGAAUCAGAGGA